UGCUCUUGGCCUUGAGAGAUUCAUAAUGCUGAACUGGGAGCUAUAAGAUUCGUGCCAGGCAGGUUCCCCAUCUGCAAAUCAGAUGAAUUGGCCAAGACGGACAGGGAACUGCAGGUUGCAGAGAAAGCCAGAGAGAAGGGACUUAUACUGCGAUCCUGAGCUGGGUGAAAAGGUGGGGUGAUCUGAUGAGACAGGGGCCGUGGCUCUUCCCAGGUGGAGCUCCAUAUCACACCCACACCAAC
rnacentral:lncRNA from 1 species